rnacentral:rRNA from 1 species
AUUGAACGCUGGCGGCAGGCUUAACACAUGCAAGUCGAGCGAGCGGCGGACGGGUGAGUAAUGUCUGGGAAACUGCCUGAUGGAGGGGGAUAACUACUGGAAACGGUAGCUAAUACCGCAUACCAUCAGAUGUGCCCAGAUGGGAUUAGCGAGUAGGUUGGUUAAUGGCUCACCUAGGCGACGAUCCCUAGCUGGUCUGAGAGGAUGACCAGCCAAACUGGAAAUGAGACACGGCCCAGACACCUACGGGAGGCAGCAGUGGGGAAGAUUGCACAAUGGGCGCAAGCCUGAUGCAGCCAUGCCGCGGGUGUGAAGAAGGCCUUCGGGUUGUAAAGUACUUUCAGCGUGGAGGCGUUACCCGCAGAAGAAGCACCGGCUAACUCCGUGCCAGCAGCCGCGGUAAUUC